rnacentral:tRNA from 1 species
GCUUCGAUAGCUCAGCUGGUAGAGCACUUCACUCGUAAUGAAGGGGUCGUGGGUUCGAGUCCCAUUCGAAGCU